GUCCUCGUCGAUUAGUGGUUAGAUCAUCACGUUGUGGCUAUAUUAGUACAAUCCGUGGAGACGCAGGCUCGACUCCUGCCGGGGACA